CUAAGAUUACAGGCACGAGCCACCGCACCCGGCCACGCCCAGGGACGCUGGAAUGUACAAGGGGGAGGAAGAGAUCCCAGGAAGAAUUUCAGCUGAUGGAGACAAAGAACAAGAUCCUAAAUUCAGUUUAACAAAUGUUCCUGAUGCCAACAGAUGUUAGUAAGCCUUUCUCCAGUGCCAUUCAAUGUGAGACUUUAGCUGGAAUGUCUUCAUCCAACCCUCUUAGUGACCUGGAAGGUCAGGCUAGCAUCAAGCCUGUGCUAGAUCACAUGCCGGCUUCUUCUGACCAGGCCAAAGUGGAGCAGGGGACACCUGCCGCUCUAAGGAAGCAGCAGCACUCAUAGUUCUUCUCCAACCAAGCCCUGCUAUUGUGCUGCCUUUGGCUCUAGUGGGAGUUGUUACCUCCUGCAGAUUCCCAGCACACGGGCCAUACAUAUGUCAGCUGGAUUUGUGCUUUUCUUUGCCCAUAGAAUAACAUAGGCAGGGAGAAAAAAAGUCAAACUCUCAUUUAGUGGUGACUUUUCCCUUUAAAUCCUCCCAGCAAGUGUGCAGAUGAGCUCAAAAUCAUCUUCUCCAGCUAGGGUUAGUGGUCCCUUCUGCUCGCCAGCCUGCAUGUCCUUGUAACCUGAGCUCCUCUCCUCCUGUUAAAAGCCUCUUCCUGGAAUUCUCUUCAUUUUGGGGAGAAAGUUCUAUUAUUUGUACAUUUUGAAAAUAGCUUGAAUUAAGAAAAAAACAGUAUUGAUCUUUGUAGAAAUUCUGCAGAGGUAAUUUAUUUCUAUGUGCCAACAGAGAAUGAGGCAUGCCCAGUGGCCUCAUUCAAGCCACUCCACAAGAAUAAUAACAAUAACAGCUAACAUUUAAUGAGCCCUGAUCCAAGUGCUUUACAGGCAUUAACUCAUUGAGCACUCACAACGACUCUCUAAGGUAGUACUAAUUUUAUCCCCAUUGUUCACAUGAGGAAAUGAAGGCACUGAGCUUGAGUAACUUACCAAAGAGCUUAGGUAACUUGCUACAAAGGGCAGAACCAGGAUUGAAACCCGAACAGUCAGACUCUAGAGCCUUCCCUCUUAACUACUAAGCCACACUGCCUCUUUUUGUCCCCAAAUUAAAAACGGAUUUUUCUGUGAAUAAAAAUAAAAAUGAAGAAGUG